CAGCAAACUGCCAAAACUUGAGCUUAUAUAGAGGUGCUCACACUUGGUGAUGAUCAGAUAAUCAAGUGAAUUUGAUUAGCAGUGCCUGGCUGCUGCUUGCCAUCUUAAUUCCUGUUGAAGCAGUUAAAGUGUGCCUAGUUUUUCACACGCUGCUUUUGCAUUUGACACAAAAUUUAAUGUGUUGUGUGUUAUGUUGUUGUUCAUUACUGCAGUGAGUUUAUCAGAAUGUGUAAUCUGCAGGAUUAUACAGAGGAUAUUACAAUACUACUGUAAACUAAAAUGGAAAUAUAAACCCUGAAAUCCAACUCUAUUCAAACCACAAGACUUUUUCUUUCUCUUCUGCUGUCAUGUUGCUAUUCCUGUCAUAAUUAUCUGACAUGUUGGGUGUUCAAGGACUACAAAUGUUCAGUGUUUUGUGACAUAAAUUUGCCUUAUUUUGAAAAGUUUCACUCUUUUAUUUUGCAGAAUUCACACCAUCAGGUCUCAGCUACAUAAAACACUUUAUAUUUUUGUUGCAACCAUGCCAAUUCAGUCCAUUUCAAAGUAAUCAAAGUGAAAAUGCACAGAAGAUGCAGUGAUUUGUGAAGGCCAGCCAUGGGGGUGAAAUCUGCCUAGGCAGUAUUAGAAUCCAGCAGAGCACAAGAAAUAAACUUGUUUUUGACAUGGACGCACAAAGCCCCAACUCCACGUCAGCAACCUGCUAACGCAGAACACAUCACAAAUAACUGCCAACUGAUCAAUCCUGAUUUCUUCCCCAGAUGUGCAGGGGUCCUUUCUACUGUUUUCUACUUGUAAAAUUGUCCAAAAGAUGGGAGCACCCCUCCUUUAUACCCACAUGUGUCACAUGCUUGUGAUUAUCAGUGUCAAAAUGUCAAAUGUAUUUUAAUAUUUCUUUUAAAAAAAAGAACAGAUGUUUAUCUGUAAGCAGCAUGUUUGUUUAGAGUAGGAGGUGCCAAAGACUGGUGUAUUCUCAUGUUCCCAUCUUAACAAUGAUUAAAAUCAGUUAUUGUAUCAGAUGUUGCUUUUUUCCCCUCUGUGAUGGAGCCAAUAAUGAAAACAAUAUUUGGCUUCAUUAAAGGAGUGUCCUGUGUCACAAC
ensembl:lncRNA